UGUAGUACAUGAACUUACUUUAAUCAAUUCACUAUAUCUAUUAGAAGUUAGUGUACAACAUAGAAUACAUGUCAAUAAGAAAACAGACCCUGAAUUUACAGUUUUGAAGGAAAUAAUGUAUAAUAAAAUAAACUCAGUAAAAAUUUGAAAUGUGAUCAAACAACAUUACAGUAUGGCAUCAGUUAAUUAAAUACAUCCAUCACAAUACAAUACAAUUCCAAAAUACAUGUAUGAACGUUAAUUAAUACAAAAUGCUACAAAUGGAACAAAUGUAAAGACAAAUAAUAAAAGUAGACUUAGCCUAUCACACGGAAUGCAUUUCAUUAAAUACGUUUGUGCCAAUACAAAGGAAAAUAAAUGUCAAUACAAAAAUACAGUUGGAAAAAAAAUAGCUUUAGUAAAAUUGAUUUUUUUCCCCUAAACUACAUUGAACUGAAACAUGUAAGGAAGAAAAAUGAUGAAAAGAUCGAAAUGAGAUGAAAAAUGAAGAAAAGUUUGAAAUCCACGGCGAAAUGGACUUCAAAAAUCAGUCCACGCAGAAUUUCUGCCCGGAAGAAAAUAAAUAGUUCCGCCCGGAAUUGUUUGUGCCGUCGGGGUCCGACUUCCCAUCCAUUUUCCAGCGCUUCUCCGGAGGGGGGCCACCACUGACCCCCGGUGAGCCGUGCCCGCAUCAGGGAAAGCGCAAUCCAGUACAAGUUUUCAUCAUAGGUGUAGUUUUCGCCGUGCUCUGUGCCCCCGACUCCGUCAAGGUAAAGAUGACGGCUCCCGGGAGGUGUUGCGUGUUUCACACGGAUGUUUCUUGCGGACGGACGCAAUGCCGGACCUCUAAUAAACUUUUACAAAAACGACAGACGAGCGUCUGGGGUCUCGUCAUCGUCGUCCGGCAUCAUGUCGUCGCCGGUACGGCCCAGCAACGUGACCAACAGGCGCGACGCCGAAUCGGUGGCGUCGCGCGUAUUCAUCGGCAACCUGAACACAGCGCUUGUGAGCAAGCGGCACGUGGCGGCCGUCUUCUCCGCGUACGGCCGCGUUCUCGGCUGCUCCGUCCACAAGGGCUUCGCCUUCGUGCAGUACGCCAGCCGCGGCCACGCCCGCGCCGCCGUCAGCGGGCACGACGGGCGCGUCCUGGCCGGCCAGGCGCUGGAUGUCAACAUGGCGGGCGAGGCCAAGCCCGACCCCGACCUGCCCGGAGCGUCAUUCUACCUUCAGUUGAGGACCGACUUGGACCGCAGGUUGUUUGACUUCCACGGUCGGGCCCCGCCCCCCGUCGUCCGCGGGGCGCCGCCGCUCGUCAAGUGGCCACGGGCGUCGUCCCUUCCUGCGCGACUGCGGCCCCAGAACGUCAACGUCCUCCACGCCAAAGCGACAGCAGGGAGAAGAGUUCAGCUGCAGGUCAUCAAGUCUCAGUUGACUCAAAUAAAAGCAAACGUCGACGCUUUGCUGGGACGCCUGGAACACAUCGCGGAACGCGCACACGCCAGAGACGCAGGUGACGCGUGCGCGCCCACACAGGCGGGCCCGAGCCACACAGGCAGUUCUAAUGGGCACCAAAAUCCGGUCCCGCCUCAGCUUAGCGAUGGUGCCGAUCCAAUAAUGCACUACAAAAAGAAUUCAAAGCCCUGCCGGAACCCGAAAGGGUUCCCCCUGGAACUCUGUUCUCGCCGCCUGAACCCAUGUUCUGCACGAACAUGUAUUGCAGACGGACGCAGUGUUUGCUCAUGGAUAAACUUUCCCCGAACCGACAGAGGAGCGUCUCUCAACUGUGGACCAAUCCUGCCGUAGUCCACCUUCAGAUGAUCUCCGACAUGAGAAGAUUCCAGGAUUGGCGCCGAUGACAAACUGUUGCUGACCCUCAGGUGAACCUGCUCGUGAUUGGCCGUCAAGCGGUCCCGGGCGUACGUGGCCUUUAGGUUCCCCUCAACGGGAUAAGAUGGUCUCAUAUGAAAGGUCUCGGAAGCUCAACUGCAAACAAUUUGUUAAGUUGGACUUCAGACUGCGGCUUUCAUGUAUGUGGAAUUUAAACAACCUUUACUGCAUCCGACCCAGACUUCAAUCAAACGAGUUGACUUUUAGGAAACCAUCUUGUAUCAACCUUUCAACUUGUUUGCGGUCCAAGUGGACCUGACUGACAAGACAACUGCAAAAGAAGCACACGACUUUUGGUAAACAUACACAGGCACGCAAAUGGUGACACGCACACACACACAUCAAUCAUCUGCCUCUGCCACUAUUAGGCAGAGGCAGAUGAUUGACACUCAUCUUAUGUGAGGAGAACAACACAAGCGCCUUUUUGAAUUUUUAUGAUUAGGAAAAAGUUGGACGGGGGGGUUGGGCUACAUCCCAUUUGCCAAAUCUAGCGAACGACGCGUGUGCUUGAAAUGUAGCAUAUUCACAUCAAUGUUGCAUUCCGCAGGUUUUGGCCAAUUCAUUUUCUAUUUUGGGAGAAAAACGGAAGGGUCGUCGCUAACACACAAAAAGCGCAAGUGUUCCCGUAAUAAAUGAACGGAUUUGUCAGAAAAGUGGCUUUGCGUGGUGCCGUGUGGCAGAGGAGGAUUCGUGUCAUUUCUCGUGUAGAAUACGCACCCCCUAACCUGAGCUCAAAUUUGUGGAAAAGCCUUCUACUGAUGUACAAUGCAUUUUUUUCAAUGCAUGAUUUCACUUCUCUCCCAGUAUGACGCAAACAUGAAGUAUUAUCCCUUUAUUUUUUUUCACAGAAUUAUUCAGAAGUUUGGACAGAUGCGGCCAUUUUGCUUAACAGCCAAAAUGUUGGAAUUUCUGGCAAGUCGUGAAAACAAAAAAUCUGAAAUGAAAUGAACAAUAAGGGUGGUAAACCAAAAGAAGUCAUGAUCAGAGUGACAAGAAAUGAUACAAAUAUGACAAAUGUUGAACUAAAUGAGCAAAAAUGCUCAAGUCGGUCGUGACAGGAAAUCUGAAGGAGCAAAAGCGAAGUUUGCGUCAGCGGGAAUCCAAAACAAUCCGAGCCGCACGCAGGCGGGCCCGAGAAACGUGUGGGGGGGUCGCAGCACCUCCACGGCCCUGCUUUUCAUUUGAAAAUCCCUUUCAGUUGCUGCCGUCGCACUCUGGAAGUCAAAAAAAAAAAAAAAAAAAAAAACCCACGCCAAACCAAAACCAAAACCAAAACCCUGACUUUUCCAUUCAAUUAGAAAUGUUUUGUUUUCCACACUGUCUCAACUUUCACACACACAUAGUUUAUGUAAUAGUUUUAUUAGAUAUCGCCUUUGUCUGAAUUUUUCAUUUUGUUUUUAAAAUUUGGUUUUUAUGAGUGUAACAUUUGGCUUGUUUUUUUUUUUUUUUUUUUUUACAAGGAGUAUUUGUCAGGGCCAAGAUUAAAAAAAAAGCCACGAUAAAUAUUGUGUAAUUAAUAACAAAAGAAUCCAUUUUAUAAAAGUUAAUAACAACUAACAGAUGCGCAAGCAAUCAAAUCCAAGCCAGGUGCGCCGUAAGCGCUCGCCGCUCAGAAGGUUGGACGCAGAUGGCGCCGCUGUAAUCGCCCGCCCGACCGACCCGGAUGGGUGGGCUUCGGGGGGCCACGCCAACGCCACGAGGCCAGGCCGAGGCCUUUGGGAAGCAACGUCGGCGUUUUGUUUUCGGAACGUCACCUUGCAAAACUUGCUUCCUUCCUCUCCAAUGACGCAAACCUUUUGUACCGCCCAAAAAUUAAGGUUGGCUCUCCAAAGUCUUCUGCAGCUUUUAAGUUGUAUUUAUUUCGAUUUGUAAAAUUGUUGCUUUCUAUCGUGGGUGUAAAUUUGGUUGCACAAAUGAAUGGAAUCCUUGGACGCAUGAAGGCUGUCAUCCAAAAAAAUAUGGACGAGUUGUGAAGAAUUGUCGAAUAGGUGCAGUGAAUCCAGAUGGGAUUUUAUUUAUUUUUUUCAAUUUGAUUUGAAAUUGUGUUAUCAUUAUAAGAUGAUUUGUGUUGAAUUUCGAGGGAGGGGACAAAAAAGUCAUCGAUUUUAUCAGAUAAAUCAAGUGGAGCCGAGCCCGCCGGCUCCUUCCUUUUUCUUCUGGGGUGAAGUCAGCCAAAUCCUUUCUUGUUGUCGUCAUCGUGAUGAUACGCAUGUUAAGGAAAAGUCAAGUCGCCGCUUACGGAGUCGUGAAAAUCCGUGCGGCCGUGACAUAUCGCUGAUUUGUUUUCAAGAUGGAAAUGUUUUCCCAGAUCGAAGGAGACGAUAGCCGACAGACAGAUUUUUUGCGACCUCCGGGGAUGUCGGCCGCUCGCGAUGCUUUUCGCCGGCUGUCAAAACACCACUUUCAUUUUCUCUUAUGAUCGUGUUAUUAAAAGGAAAACCAAUACAAAGAAAUGUUUUGGGAACUUUGAACGUCAGCCAGCCUUUGAUUGGAAAUGGAUGACGCGCGUCCUUGAAAUUCUCAAUGCAUUUUGCAACUUUGCGGCCAAAUGUGGAACGGCAGAAAAUUUGGGAGAUAAUCGGCGUUCAGGAAAAAUGAAAAAUUGACUCUUUUGUUGACAAAUUCCUUCAAAAUACGCUUUUAGAAUUUUGACCUUUUAACCCGUUUGACGGCAUUUUGACUGGACCUGCCCCCAAAAAAUGAAUAGACGCUCUCCUUUUACCAGAAAACCAAAGUUGGUUUCUCGUUUUUUUUUUUUUUUUUGUUUGUUUUUUUUUUUCCGGUCCUUAGUCGUCGUCCUCAGGAGUGUGUGAUUCGCUUUCACCAAAACGGUGACAUCGUAUCAUGGGCCACUUUGUUUUUUUGAACAAUACUUUUGAGAAAAUGGACGGGCACGCCACAAGAUCCAAAGCACUCAUCGGUGAAAAGAAUCUGAAGUCCAGCCACAAUAGUUUUGGACUGAUGAGACCGGGAUGAACCUCUCGAAAGUGUGGAGAAUCCCAGGAUCCGCUUCUGAUCCACAAUACACAAAUUCAUCUGUGAAGCACGGCGGAAGUCAGGUCACGGCUCGGGCUCGGGUGCCUGCUCCUGGAACGGACUCGCUAGUCUCGCGGUGGUAGCAGCAGAGGGAAUUGUGAAGUCUACAAAACAAUUUUGCCAGGCAGUCGACAGAAAAAGGGAGACGUUUCAUCAUGCGCCAAAAAACGCUGCGGACAUCAGCGCGGUGGAAAAGCGGAAGGUCUCGGACUGGCCAAGUCAGAGGAGGAGGAGAAACCCACUGAAACAGGCCGCAGGAAAGGUCUAGAAACGCAUAAAAGAAGAAGAAGAAUGCGAGUCGCAAGAAGUCAGCCGGUCGCAGGCUCGAUGCACUUAUUGCAACAGCAAAUGUUCAAUGUUAUCCUCUCAACGUUGAUAUGAAUCAACGAGUGUUCCGAAUGCUUUUGCCGACGGUCAAAUUCUAACAGAUGGUGCUCCGUCCUGGGUUGUUGAACACAUCGAGAAGCAAAUGCCGUGAAAUCAGAGAUGGACUUUGGUUGAUGUUCUUCAUUUGAUCCGAAACCCACGACAAAUCUCCAAGCACCGUAAAACGAUGGAUUUGGAAGAUGGAAUUCGGUCACGCCUUCGGGUUCUUUGUUCCACUCCGCAGUGGAAAUGACAACCUGCUCACAGUUGCCUCACUGCUCGGGGGUGUCAAACUCAUUUUUUGUCGCGGGCCACACGGCGGUUACGGUUUCCCUCCAAGAAGGCUGUUACGACGGAAACCAUAAAAAUCUUUAAUCGUAUUUACCCAAUGAAUUUAUGAACUAGUUCUGGAAUAAGAAAUGAUGGGUAAUGGGCUCUACAACGCUUGUUGAUGUCUGGUAACACAAAAAUGCUUGCAAAAUCUCAAUGUUUUCAUUUACAAUGUGACCUUUUUACAUUUUUGUACCGAUUUGAACAAAAAUCGUGGAAGUUGACACACAAGAUUUGCCCGCGUGGGCCACAUAAAAUCAGGCGACGGGCCGGAUCUGGCCCACGGGCCUGGAGUUGGACACCGGUGCCUUCACUGUAUACAUCAAGGUUGAAUAAGUAAAUGCACCUACCACAAGAGGGAGCCCUUGUACGUUGAGAAGUGCUGAUAUGAUUUGCGCCUAAUUCAGGCAAAGUUGACAGAUUGGACACUUUUUAUUUUCGGCGACUAAAUCGACUCCAGUUUUUGUCGACAAUCAUAUUUGUGUAGUUCGUCUACCAAAAUCGACAAAACCAGUUCAGAUGACAAAAUGUUUACUAAACUGAAAGUUGCUGUCAAAAUGAGCGCUGCUGUCAGUCAGUUUGAUCAAUUGACUAAUUGGGCAAAGAAAAAGGGAAUUAUUUUCCAUAUAAUAAAUAAGGUGGUGACAUCGGUCUUGACGGCGGCGAUGAGAACUUUGAAUAUCUGUCGUCGAUGACGUUGGCCCGUGUGCGCAAAUGACGGACAAUUAUUGGCCCGACUGGUGCAAUAAUAAUAAUCAUAAAAAAAACGAUCGUAAUAAUGAGAAUGAGAAUGAUAAUAAUAGGGUCUGUCCUGUUGGGAGGACUUAAAAGCUGACAGCAAGUAUGCGAAGCAAAACGCCGCAAAAUAAUUUCCAAUAAAUGAUGUGGUUUCCCACUGGGCACAUGUGCCUCACACUUCUUUCGUUCCGUCUUUUUUUUCUUUUGUCCGGAUCGGAUGGGAGAUCAAAGAGGGUCUGGAUCCCUUUCGUGCCGCGAAAGUUCUACCGGGGGUUUUUAAGCUUCCGCCGUGCUUUCUUCGUAUCUGCCAGGUUCCGAUCCUGCGCGGGGUUUGCGUGUUUACGGUACUCUGCUUUCCUCCCGCAAUCGUCCAAACACGGCGCUACGAAAACCGGAUGGAUGUGGAUGUGGAUUUUGCUUGUGCUAGAAAGCAAAAGGAAGGUCAGAAAAAGCCUCCUAGAAAUUGAGUGUCAGGUGUGCGGUGCCUCCCGUUGAACACCCAUUUGAAUGUAAUUGACCACUUGAGAACACAGAUUGUAGAGGGUGUGCGCACUUGUGCAACUACACUUUCAGUCAUUUAUUUUUGCUUUCCCUCACAAAAAUGCAUUGAAUGCACAUGAAUGAUGCCAUACAUAUAUUUUUGAUAUCCCCCGCCCCUCCAUAUCACCAAAACGUGCGAUUUGGACAAGUUUGUGUCAACUUUGACGUGAUUUGACUUAAUUUCUGCUCAUUUGGAUUCCCAACAUGGCAAACGUUUAAAUUUGUUGGCGAGUUGCAGCGAUCCUCAAAGUGCGGCCUGCGGGCUCCUUGGCGUGGCAGUCCAAUAAAAUAUUUCAACUGCAGAACGUUGAUUGGUGAUUUCAACUUCCAACUUCCAACUUUUGGAAGUUGUACAUUUGUCAAGUGCAGUUCACUUGUAUUUAACUUUCAUGUAUCAAUGAAUUAACAGCGGAUUGCUCCUGCCCCAAGUUUCAACAUUGAAAACGAGUCAAAGUUUUACGUUCAGAAAGUCUGGAGCAUUGGUGUCAAACUUAAGGCCCGGGGGCCAGAUCUGGCCCGCCACAUGAUUUCACGUGGCCCGCGAAGGCAAAUGGUGUGUGUGUGUGUCAUCUUCCAUGGUUCUUCUUCCAAUUGUACCAACAUUUCAAAUUUUCGUAUCUUAAAUGAUAACGUUGAGAUAUUGCAGGCAUUGUUGUGUUAGCAAACAUCAAGAAAAGUUGAAGUGAAGCCAUUACCGUUGCUUUCUGAUUCCAAAAGUAGUUCAUAAAUUUGAUGUGUAAAUAUGAUGAGGCGCUUCAAUAAUUUUUGGGUUUCACAGUCGUGACGGCCCGAUAGAGGGAAAGCGGAACGGCCGUGUGGCCCGCGACAGAAGUGAGUUGGAUUCCCCAGGUAUCGAGAGGGGGCGGGGGCAUUAUCUGAUUAUCUGAAUACUUAGUGAAGACACCGCCCCCUCCUGAUCUUUUUGGUCAUUUUACCACGUUACAAUUUUGAUGAUUUGCAAAUUGUGGUCUGUCACGAAAGAAUCGCCGUCUGGCGUCAGGUCUGUUGGAUUUAACGUUUCAGAACUUCCAUUUCUUUUGGUUUCAAAGCCUUCAUUUAGCUAUGAAUUUUGAUUGAUCUUAGUUUAGAAUUCGUCAUUUAUAAUUUUACUGUCAAUAUUUCAUGUUGAAAGUAGACGUGAUGUUUCAGUUCCUUGAACAUUUCUGUUACUUGUAUUGAGCAACUUUUUCUUGGUGUUAUUUUUUCGUGUUUGAAGAUUUUGUUUUUAUCUCACGGGCAAGUUUGCAGCCACUCCCAAACGUUCUUUUCAUCUGUUUUACAGUCGACUAUUUUUGCUCAUUUUUGCGGACGCUUCGGGUGAAAUUUUGUCCCUGUGACUUCCUCGACGAAAACAUUCGGGGCUUUUGUUCAAAACGUUUUGCUUUUUUUACUUUCCCAGCCAGGAAAGCCAAAUAAAAAAUUUGUUCUCGUGGAAGAGCAAACAUCACAAAAAUCCAACGUCCAAAUAUUGACAUUAUAAUUUUUUUCAUUUGGGAACCAAAGGCGCAUUAUUAAAAUCAUAAAGUCCCAUUUUUGCCCUGAACAAAAGGCAAGUGUUUUUAAGAGUAUAGAGUUAGAAAAUAAAAUAUCCAUCCAUCCAUCCGCGAUUUGAUCCACUUAUCCUCACAAGGUUUGGCGUAAGUGCCAGAGCCAAUCCCGGCCAUCUUUGGGCACGAGCCCUCGACCGGUCGCCGACCGAUCGCGGGGCACACGCUGACAGGAAGCAGUCGCACUCACACCGAGAGCCAUUUUGACCCCGGGAGAAAAUCCACCACGCUUGCGGGGACAGGGGGUGGGCCGGGAUUUGAACCCCCGGUCCUCGCAACUGCGAGACAGAUGUUCUUCAGAAUCAAAUCGACAUCAAUUUUUUUAGGGCGUCCCCAGCCAUCCUUGUGAGGAUAAGCGGCUCAGAAAAUGGAGGGAUGGAUUUUAUUCUCCAAUCCUGACAAAAUAUGUCUUUUGUUCUUGUCAAGGUUACUUUGUUACUUUUUAUUUGUAGAAAGAAGAAGAAGGCGACUUUGUUUGUUCUGCUUUUUUUUUUUUGUUGUUGUUCUUUUUUUUUUUCUGUGACGGAGACGCAAGCGAGUCGUAGCCACUUCGGAUCGUUUAGGAAGAAGCGGGGCCAACGCUCGCUCGCUGGCGGGCUGCUCUGCUAUGAAGUGAGGUGUGUGGGGGGGGGGGGGGGGGGAAGGUUACCUCCAGAUUAUCCCCCUGACGGCGGCAAAUGGGCCACGCGGGUCAAAGGUUGAUGUGUGGACAAUCUCGACACGUCUGCAAAUGAUACCAAAAUGAUUUUUGUUUUUUGUUUUUUUCUUCUCCUUCUCGGAGUCGUCGACGAGCAUCCCGGCAGAAACGUCUCCUCCGGUUUCCCCAGAAAUGCGAUGGAUUUUGGGCUGCCGUCUGCUUGGAGCCGGCGUUGCCGUGGAAACUGUUUUCCGUCGCCUUGCCUGCAUACGUCAAGUGAACACCGCCACCUGCUGGAGAAGAAGUGCAGCGUGCGGAUGGAUGACGUCACUACGACCACCCGGUGCGACGGUUUGAACGCUCCCGGUGCCGAAAAGUCUCCUCGUGAUUAACGCGCAUGUGCGUAUAUUUUGUAAACUUCUGGCCAGUCUGUAACAUCCCCAUCCACGCUUCAACAUGUGCCGUUCCGCAACUGCGUGUUCGCCAUGUGGACGUCUCAGAAAGACGAACGCACAGAUUUGUGCAUACGUUUGUAUCAACUUUUGUUUGAAGGUUAGGUCAUAACGAAUGUUAGCUUCGUCUAUGUAGAGGAAGGGGAACUAUGAGACUGGGGGAUUUCCCCAGCAAGCGUCCAUCACAAGGAGACUUUUCAGCACGGGGAGCGCUCAGACCAUCACACCGGCCGGCUUUAAGAAGUCAAUAACUCAAGUUAACAAGCAGAAAUGGAAAUUGAUGAUUAUCCCUUUAGAACUCCAAAUCUAGUCUCAAGCAUUAUUUUUUUUCGCCUUAAUGUAUUUUUACUUUGUUGCAACUGAAGUUAUGACUUUUUGUACAUACAUAAAUGUCAAUAUUACAUUGACAAAGAUGCAUGCUAUAUUAUUAAAAAGGGGGGGGGGGGUCAAAAAAAAAAACAACUUUGGUUAGUAGAUUGAUUCCAUGAUUUCUGUGCUGCGCUUGCAUUUCCAAUUAAAGCGAGACGACGUCGUACGAGGGCCUCGCGUGUUUUGACACUCUUGGCCAAUAAUGCCGAUUGUGACAUUUUCAAAAGCAGGAAAAAGUGAAACGUUCCAGACCGUCAAUUGUCAGUAGCCGUCGUUCCGCUUCAGAGAUUCCUGGCACGCGAAACGUCGCGAGA